rfam:Eutrema salsugineum unplaced genomic scaffold scaffold_13, whole genome shotgun sequence.
AACGGCGAGGAUGAUGAUUUAAUUAGAUGUGCGAAUGGAGAGUUUCUCCAUUUUGAGCUUAAAAACUUAAUUUGGCAAUUAAUCUGACUUCGCCGUC